GAUGAACGCUGGCGGCGUGCUUAACACAUGCAAGUCGAACGGAAAGGCCCUAGCUUGCUGGGGUACUCGAGUGGCGAACGGGUGAGUAACACGUGGGUGAUCUGCCCUGCACUUUGGGAUAAGCUUGGGAAACUGGGUCUAAUACCGAAUAUGACCACUUCUUGGAUGUUGUGGUGGAAAGCUUUUGCGGUGUGGGAUGAGCCUGCGGCCUAUCAGCUUGUUGGUGGGGUAAUGGCCUACCAAGGCGGCGACGGGUAUCCGGCCUGAGAGGGUGUACGGACACAUUGGGACUGAGAUACGGCCCAGACUCCUACGGGAGGCAGCAGUGGGGAAUAUUGCACAAUGGGCGCAAGCCUGAUGCAGCGACGCCGCGUGGGGGAUGAAGGCCUUCGGGUUGUAAACUCCUUUCGCUAUCGACGAAGCCACUUGUGGUGACGGUAGGUAGAUAAGAAGCACCGGCUAACUACGUGCCAGCAGCCGCGGUA
rnacentral:rRNA from 1 species